CUAACCCUAAUUUCUCGCCUCCUUCGUAGAGCCCCACUAUUCUCUCUACUCUUCCUUCUACUUCUCAUCUCUUCAAUGGCGAAUCCGUCUGCUCCUUGCUUUUUCCUGUUUGUCUAGACACUUUAAACCUGUGUGUCAAGCUUUCCUCAAGAUCUCUCUUGGUUUCCGACGAGCUGCGCAGCUGUUUCUUUAUGCUUGAAGUUUCUGUUCUCCUGGCGUUUAAAUCUGUCUGUCAAGCUUUCCUCAACAUUUCUCUUUGUUCCCGAAGAUCUGCGCAGUUUCAGCUAACAUAAAGGACAUAUGCCCCUUGUUCUUAUUUACAAGUGGGAGUAGGAAGGACGAACAAGGGCAAAUAGGAAAUUAAUAAAUCUGCUCUUUCCGAUUGUUGAAAUUUUUCCCAAAAACAGAGAAAGACCAAAUACAGUUAAGGUAUGUUGCAUGGACAAAAUUUCUAUGUUGAAUCCACUUCUUCUUCGUCUCCUAUGCACAAGACUGUAGACCCAUCUCAAUUUUGCAUUCAUGGGUCCUAUUAUAUAAAAAAAUUCAGGUUUAUUCAGCUACCAGAUAUAAGGGAUGUUAAGAUCACAAAUUUUACUUUGAGCCUAAAGGUACUAGAGCAAAAACUGUUCUUGCAAAGGCCGUAGUACAUCAUACCACCAUGACCUUCAUAAUGUUUAUUGGCUCAUAAUUUAUUCAGAAAUACUUGGGGCGAGGUAUGCUUGAAGUGUUAUUUUUAUGCAUUAAUAUACUCCAGAUAACCAGUGUAAAUGUUUGUAUAAUCUAUUUUAGUAGCAUGAUAUCAAUCAGAGUUUUCAGUUCAAAGUGUUUGUAUCUCAGAAAAUGAGCUAAGAAUAGCAUUUAAUUUCUUCACCUAUGGCUUUCCAAUUUCAUAGGUAAUAGUAAUCUUGACUGGGAGCGAGAAUAAGGCAAUUAACUAAUGUACUAUCUCCUUCGAAAUUGUAUCACCCAACUGUGCUUUAGGAGGAUUCACUAGAUGAUCAUCUAGCAUACGAUUUUGGUUUAUUUAUUUCUUGAAAUUAAACAUUACAGAUUUAGAAACCACACUAAAGAUGAUACUUUACCCAAUUUCUGAAUUUUAAAAAGAUCAAGAACAUAACAACUACAUUAGAGUUUUGUGUUCCGAGGACAUAAUCCUGCAAGUGUAGGGACACAUGUACCUUUCACUUUUAAUGAGUUGGCUUCAGCAAACCUAUUCAAUAUGUAGCAAAGUAAGGGACAACUUGAAAGUAGAUGAUUAGCAAAAGAGCAUGUUCAAAAUUGGCAACUCAGUAUGUCCAUAUAAUAAGUGUUCUGGCAUGACAAUCGCAACUCAAUAUGCAUUUCUAAAGUUUUACGGUUCUCACCGACGAAAAAGAACAGUAAAAUAGUUAAGCACUUGUGCAAUUAUUGUGGUAUAUAAAUGAUUUAUGAUGAUAUAAUAGCUUCAGAAGUACGUUUGAAAAAGUCAAAGUUACAGACUUACAGUUUUCUUUUAAAUUAAUUCUAUAGCUACGUUGGCAGGAAGUUCUUGAAGUUAUGGCAAAUAGUCUAUUAUUCAGUAAUUUACUUAUUUGAAUCCAAAAUAUGGUGAGAGUCUUGAUGACUUGCAGGUAAUGGAGCUUUCUAGAAAUAAUUUAAUCUUAUUUUCGAAUCAAAUGCCUAAUAGUAACAAGUACUUUAUAAAUGUCUUGUAGUAUCUGACUACGACAGAAUUUUGUAUUAUUUUUGUAUUCUAGCAAAGAAGCUGAACCUUCCUUGAGUUUAUUAAAAUAUAUUCUUCCAUGAGUUCAUAAAAGUGCCUUCUUUACAAAAUGUACAUUCUAAGUUUCGUAUGACAUUAUAGCACUGCUAUAGUCAUUAAGUCGAGGUCUAUACUAAGUUAUAAAAGGACCAUUCAUUUUCCUCUCCUCAUCCAUUAAACUGGCAGGAAAGUCGAUUAUGUAGACAAAGAUUCUGAGAGGCAUUCUUGAGGUCAUGAUUAUAAUGAUGACGAGGACGAGAACGACAAAGGACAGAAAGUAUUAGCACAUCUGGAACUUAAAGUUGGAGGCAGAUUUGAAAGAGCAGAACAUCUUCAACAUUAAAUUAUUGGAGUAGAGUGCAGUUACUAACUCUAGCAAGAACAUGUAUAGUAGAUUGUAGUUACUAACUCGAGCAAAAAUAUGGUGAUGAAAAUUGCUACGUAAGAUGCUACAUGUGCCUUAAAAGGAAGCUGAAGUCAUCACUUGGUGAAGGGACUGAAUAUGUGUCAACUAUAGCGACUGCAUGUACCAACAUUAUUUAGAUUCGAAUGGGCGAUGCUUAAAAGUCUUACAGAAAUUUAUCAUAAACUGAAUGAACGAGAAAGUAUAGAACACCUUAGAGAUGUAUGAGAUACAAUUUCAGCCUGCAUUUUCUUGAUAGUUUGAAAUGAAAGAAACAUUAUGUUUCAAAACUCAAGAAAAUUUCGUCCAAAAACUGGAACACAAAUAUUUGUGAUUGCUUGAAAUGUAUGCAAAGGUGUUGAUGAGAA